GAGGCAGCAGUGGGGAAUUUUGGACAAUGGGCGAAAGCCUGAUCCAGCAAUGCCGCGUGCGUGAUGACGGUCUUCGGAUUGUAAAGCUCUGUCCUCAGGGACGAUAAUGACGGUACCUGAGGAGGAAGCCACGGCUAACUACGUGCCAGCAGCCGCAGUAAUACGUAGGUGGCAAGCGUUGUCCGGAUUUACUGGGCGUAAAGGGAGCGUAGGUGGAUAUUUAAGUGGGAUGUGAAAUACUCGGGCUUAACCUGGGUGCUGCAUUCCAAACUGGAUAUCCAGAGUGCAGGAGAGGAAAGUAGAAUUCCUAGUGUAGCGGUGAAAUGCGUAGAGAUUAGGAAGAAUACCAGUGGCGAAGGCGACUUUCUGGACUGUAACUGACACUGAGGCUCGAAAGCGUGGGGAGCAAACAGGAUUAGAUACCCUAGUAGUCCACGCCGUAAAUGAUGAAUACUAGGUGUAGGGGUUGUCAUGACCUCUGUGCCGCCGCUAAUCGCAUUAAGUAUUCCGCCUGGGGA
rnacentral:rRNA from 1 species